rnacentral:rRNA from 1 species
GGAGGAAAGCAGGGGAUCGCAAGACCUUGCGCUCAUUGAGCGGCCGAUGCCUGAUUAGCUAGUUGGUGAGGUAAAGGCUUACCAAGGCGACGAUCAGUAGCUGGUCUGAGAGGACGACCAGCCACACUGGGACUGAGACACGGCCCAGACUCCUACGGGAGGCAGUAGUGGGGAAUUUUGGACAAUGGGGGAAACCCCGAUCCAGCCAUGCCGCGUGAGUGAAGAAGGCCUUCGGGUUGUAAAGCUCUUUCAGCCGGAACGAAACGGUCACGGCUAAUACCUGUGACUACUGACGGUACCGGAAGAAGAAGCACCGGCUAACUACGUGCCAGCAGCCGCGGUAAUACGUAGGGUGCGAGCGUUAAUCGGAAUUACUGGGCGUAAAGCGUGCGCAGGCGGUUUUGUAAGUCAGAUAUGAAAUCCCCGGGCUUAACCUGGGAACUGCGUUGAUUUAACGAGGCUAGAAGGGC